AAACAUGACCUAAGUGAGGAGUUUGAAAUGUAUGACUUGGGAAAUCUCUCAUAUUUUCUUGGCAUCGGAUUUUACAAGAGUAGUAGAGGUUUGAUGAUGCACAAAAGAAGAUAUACAUGCAAAAUACUCAAGAGAUUUGAGAUGCAAGAUUACAAGAAUCAGAUUGCAACAUCAUGACGAAGGAAGUGCAGGUCGAAGUGUUUAAGAAGUUAAGU
rnacentral:lncRNA from 1 species